AUUUCUUUCUUUUUUUUUCUUAACCUUUACUUUGUAUAAAUUUUAGAUUAUAUUUCAUUAGAUUAGAUUAGAUUAGCAGAAACUGGUAGAUCACCAUGACUUCAUUCAUCAACGUCGACGCUCCCCAACUGCCUACCGCUCUUUCCCAUUUAGCCAUUCAAGAUCAGGUGGAAGUGGAAACUAAGGUGGAGAUUCAUGAAAAACCUUGUGGGAAUCAUGGUGGAGUUUGUGCCAUAUGCUUGGAUAAGAUUGUGCUUCAGGAAACUGCUCUUAUAAAAGGUUGUGAGCACGCCUACUGUGUGACCUGUAUCCUUCGAUGGGCCACAUACAGUGAGAAACCGACCUGUCCUCAAUGCAAAUAUCCAUUUGAGUUUCUUAAUGUUCAUCGUUCUCUUGAUGGCAGCAUCCAGGAUUACAUGUUUGAAGAAAGUGUGUGCCUCCUGCUUAGAGCUGCAUGGUUUAAACCUUUGAUUGUAGAGGAUCAUCAAGAAGAUGUUUAUGAUGAUUUAGAAGAUUAUUAUCCAUAUGAAUAUGAGGAUGAUGAGGAUGAUUUAGAUGAAGUUUACUUAAGCCAUUCACCAAACCUUCGUAUUGGUAAUCGGAGGUGGGGAGACAAUGGGUAUGUUAGGGCAGGGCGUCAAGAAGCAAGGCCGGUCUAUCGACCAAACAGCCAGGACUCAGGUGCUAGUUCAUCACGUGAUCCAAAUAAGAAAGAGGCUCCAAAGGAUAGAACCGGCCGACGUGCAAAGAGGACACUCUAAGCGUGAAGCUGCUGACAAGGCAGCCGCGGCAAAACAUCAACAGCACUUGGCAAGGUUGGGCCGGAAGUGAUUCUGUGUCUUGUCCCUGUCUCUUUAUGCAAUUAGUUCAUAAUCCUGGAACCAUGAAUCUGGUCUUUGUACAGUAUUUCCUUUCUCUUAACUUUGUGAAAUAAUGACAU
rnacentral:misc_RNA from 1 species